rnacentral:tRNA from 1 species
UGUAUUUUAGUUUAUAAAGAAUAUUUGUUUUUGGUGCAAGUGGAUUUAGAUACAA